GGGAGCCGGAUGAAUCGAGAGGUUCACGUCCGGUUCUGGGAGAGCGCGGGGCUGAGAUGCCCCGCGCCACUCACC
rfam:Skermanella aerolata KACC 11604 strain 5416T-32 contig178, whole genome shotgun sequence.